GGGCGAUUAGCUCAGCCGGUAGAGCAGCUGACUCUUAAUCAGCAGGUCGUAGGUUCGAUCCCUACAUCGCUCA
rnacentral:tRNA from 1 species